UCAAACAGAUAAACCAACAGUCAACAGACAAUGUACAAUCAAACAAUCAAGGCUACAUUGUGCAAAGCACAAAGCUCAACUCAAAUGAGCCAAAGCAUCCUACAAAACAAGUCAAUGUUAGUUCAUAACAAUCAAGCAAACCAACUCAAGCUAUGCAAAUUGAUCUCCUUAAAGCCAUAUGCUUCUUAACCUGAAAACAAACUCAAAC
rnacentral:lncRNA from 1 species